CCUCUGUGUCUCUGUGUGUGCUGAACAUCUGGAAUCAGAUUGAGUCAGGCUGCAUCAGCUGAAUCUGUUAUUUGUAAAUAUCAAUAUUUUUUAUUCAGGUGUGGGGAUAAUAUGUAAGACUGCAGUGAAGCGAUGUACCAGAUUAAUCCCUGGCCAAAGGCAUCGUACUUAAAUCAGACUACUGAUCCAGCCACAUCAGCCUUUUGUGAGAACAGUUCUCCACAGUCGCUGUCCACAUGGGUCAGUGGGACCAAGCAGCACUCUGCUAAUGUGAGACUCUGACCAGCAACAUUCAGCAAGACCCAGGCAGCGUUUUCUAUCUCCCAGCUGGAGUUUUUUGUUUGUCUGUGACGGGAGAGUCAGAUUUUUGUUGAGGCUGGAGGAACAGCCUCACACUUGCAGAGGUUAAUACACUCUACUGAUCCCUGAUGGGAGAAUCAUCACCUCUGCCAACAAAGAAGCCUGGUGGAUGUUUGUUUGCAGUCUGAUGAUGGGACAUCAUGCUCUGCAUCUUCAAAGUUUACCUCCUCAUUAUUAUUCAUACACAGUAAUGUAAAGUAUGCUUAUAUCUAGUAUAACUGGACCAACCUGGUGCUCUUCAUUUAUGGAGGCUGUUGAGUCUGAAUGUUGGAUGUUGUGUGUCUCGUGUUCUCUGGGCUUUGUUGUCCUCAGUCUUUUUGCAGGAUCAGAAAACAAAACCAGGAGGCCUGUAAAUGUUUCUUCUCCAGUUGGAUGAUGAUAAGACUGUGACACGGGAUGCCACCUUUAGUCUUGUGAUGAAGCAAAGCUCAGGACGAAGUGUGAUUAAAUUGUACCCACAUGUGUGCUGCUGAGAAGGAUGUACAGGGGCACCUGCAGCCAAAUCCAAGCCUCCUCAGAGCAGAGCGGCCGUUUGUGCUCACAGAUGGUGACGGUGUGGAGAGACGGUGGUGUUUCCUCAGAAGAACUAGCAGAGUCACAAAGGGCACGAGUCCAUCUCACCACCUUGACUUGCUGACUGAUGCUCGUCUGCACUGCACAGAGGAAAUCAACUAACCGAGGUAAAUCUCCAGUUUCUGAGUGAGGGAGAGAGGAGUCAUCAUCCAGGUAAAGUGACGUGAAUCAGUGGAUACACUUGUCUCCCCUUUAAAGGAGACGAUCCGAGUCAUCCUUAAAUAUGGGAAGGAUAUCAGUCUUGGACUGUCUAACCUGCCGGAGCAGCACUGAAUGAUCACCACACAUGAGCAUGUUCCUGCAACAUUCAGCAUCUGAUCUGCCAUCUGUGUGCUUCUGCUUUUGUGUCAAAUGUCAACCAGCUGGAGAGGAAACUACACCAGUGUACUGGGAUGUUUCAGCAACACGUGCCAGACGCUGUUCCUUCAUGGUGACAUCACCAGAGACAGCCCCGCCCACCUCAGGACCUCGCCAUUGAUCAUGAUGAUUAUAAUGAUGACAGCGAGCGGAACUAAGACUGUAAAAAUCCACGACCAGAAUGUUUAGAUGCUUUCUAAUUAUUAAUGAAUACUGAGAGCCUCUUUCUGUGUUUUGUCUGUUUUGUUUUUUUUACCUCAUUUGUUACUAACAAAGUUCACCAAACUCACACAGUUUACAUUCUGUAUGUUUCCAUCUUUACCAGCCACACUCUUAACUGCAAUUAAGAAAACAAACCGUAGAAAUCGUUGCUUUUCUCUUUUGUAAUUGAUGAUAAUUCAGUGAAUAUACGGCGCUGCUUCCUUUUGUUUCGUCUCAUAUUGCUUUAAGUUUUUCAGUGUUCAGUUAUUUUUUACUGCUGUUUGAAUUCUCUGUAUG